AAUUGAUACCACCAUCUGCCUCUAGAUCCUUGCAAACUGAAUGAACUAUCGAUUAGAGCUUCUAUCCUUUCUUUAAGCUAAGUAUCUGAUUCUUCUAUGUAUUUCUUUAGUCUCUAUACACCAUGAAAUGACUUAAUUUUUGUUUAGGAAUCUCAAUGCUGUGUAGAUCUGAAAAGUCCACAUCUGUUGCAGCUGCUCCAAAAAGAAACCAAGAAUUGCUGAUGUUAAUGCUAACUUGUGAGCACUAGUUAUACUUGAUGAAUUACUGAGAAGACCUAUUGUUGCUGCAAUAUUAAUAUCCAUAGCUACACGUGAUAUUGUUGCCCUUGCAGAUGUGCGAGAAACCUCUGUUGCCUUCUCAUUUUCCUUGUUUGUAAUCUCUUCCCCUUCUAAUUGUGAUGCUCCACUACUUUCAUCAUUAUAAUGUUGCUUCUCACAAGUUUUUUUUGUUAUAACAGUCACACUUUCAUCAAUUACGAGACAACUUAGGG